UACGGAGGAUGCGAGCGUUAUCCGGAUUUACUGGGUUUAAAGGGUGCGUAGGCGGAUCGUUAAGUCAGUGGUCAAAUUGAGGGGCUCAACCCCUUCCCGCCAUUGAAACUGGCGAUCUUGAGUGGAAGAGAAGUAUGCGGAAUGCGUGGUGUAGCGGUGAAAUGCAUAGAUAUCACGCAGAACCCCGAUUGCGAAGGCAGCAUGCCGGCUUCCGACUGACGCUGAAGCACGAAAGCGUGGGGAUCGAACAGG
rnacentral:rRNA from 1 species